rnacentral:lncRNA from 12 species
CAAAAUUGUUGGUCACCUUGGAAAACCUUGACCUAUUUUUCCUAGCAGGCCAGGGAAGCUGAUGCAGUCAAGCUGGCAGCCCUUUCCCACCAUUCCUGACUUUUCUAAGGAAAAAAUCUUCUACCUUCCGGAAACCUGA